GUCAGAAUGGCCGAGUGGUCUAGGGCACCAGUCUCAAAGAGAUUUGACUUUCUAAGCUAGUGAGAAUUCUGGUCAUCAACUGGAGUUGUGGGUUCAAAUCUCACUAUUGACA
rnacentral:tRNA from 1 species